rnacentral:lncRNA from 1 species
AACGGUACUACCCUGGGUUCCGGGCAGGGGUGGAACUGGAUUCUGCCUGGAUGGGGAUCGGAUGGGGGUGGAGGUUUGAUUUGGGAAGCAGAGCACAGCAGCCCAAAUUUGUUGUAAUGGCGGCGGCUACAGAAUUGAUUUUGGGAACAGAACACAGCAGCCUGAACUUGAUUGUUAUUUUGGCAGCUACAGGCAGAACAAGAAGGCCAAACAGAAGCCUCCACCAAUUGUCCUCCCUGCAGGAAGAUCAAAUUGAACAACUAUCCACACAAAGAAGCACUUUAAUGAGAAUGAAAAAUCAGGUUCCUUUUACAUGAUGUGAAGAGAAUGGCAUUUUACCUCUGAGAUCUUCCCCCUGGAAGUUCAUACUCUCAUUCUAAUCAUGACAGACGUAUAAGACAAAUCCCAGUAGAAGGGCUUUAUGCACAAUAGCUGACCAAUGCUACUCGAAACUGUGAAGAUCAAAGUCAUCAAACGUAGGGAAAGUCUAAGACCUGCCACAGCUAAGAGGAGCCUAUGGAGACAUGACGAGUAAAUGUGAAACGAUGGUCCUACAUGAAACUCUGGAACAGAAAAAAAAAUGCAUUAGGUAAAAACAAAGGAAAUCUGAAUAAAGUAUGUGCUCUGGUUAAUAGCAAUGUGUUAAUAUAGGUUCAAUAGUUGUAACAAAUGUACCAUACUAAUGGAAAAUGUUAAUAAUAGAGGAAACGGUGUAGAGCAUAAGGCACUCAAUACUAGGUUUUCUAUUUUUCUCUAAGUCUAAAGCUACAGGUUGAUUAACAAUGAAAAACUGUUAGCAAACUACUUAAAGAGUAUUUACCAAAAAACUACAGCAAACAUCAAAAAGUUGAAAGUUACUUUUACUUUGAAAUUGUAAAAGACAAUGAUUCUUGCUAUCACCAUUUCUAUUCAAUACUGUAAUAGAGGUACUAGCCAGUGCAGUAAUGCUAAGCAGAUGAAAUCAAAGGGCUAGAGAUAAAAAAUAAACAAAAUUUGCCUAAUUAACAGAUGGUUUUUAGAUUGUGUAUAAAGAAAAUUCAAAAUAAGAGUAAAUUAUUCAUUUAAUAAAAUAUAUAUAAAAGUUGCAGGACAAAUAUCAAUUUACAAAAAAAUUAAGUUUCUGCAGUAACAGUAUGAAAAUGAGAAUAAACAAAAUAUACCUUGUAAAAUGAAUCUAACCAAAGAAAGCCUAAGAACUUCAUGGAAAUUAAAUUAAUGAACUAAUUAAGGCUUUAAAUAUAAAAUAAAUGGAUGUGAGUAUUCAAUAUUGUAGACAUGUUAAUUAUUUCCAGAAGUAAUGUACAGAUGAUUGCAAUCCCAAU